GCGCCGUUUCACUCCACAAUAUGAGCGGCGUACAUUCACAAGGAGGUUUAUCAACUCCGUCAGACUCACGGUGCGGCAGCGUGGAGACCUGUCGUAAUGCGGAGCAAUUCAGCGCAAUUGCCCGCGAGGCAGUUUCUGCGAAGGCGUUACUGUCAGAGUCAGGCUUAUGU
rnacentral:ncRNA from 1 species